GUACCCUUAGCUCAGUUGGUUAGAGCAGACAGCUCAUAACCGUCCGGUCGUAGGUUCGAGUCCUACAGGGUACA
rnacentral:tRNA from 1 species